UGGGGAAUCUUCCGCAAUGGACGAAAGUCUGACGGAGCAACGCCGCGUGUAUGACGAAGGCCUUCGGGUUGUAAAGUACUGUCUUUGGGGACGAAUGGUAUCUAUGUAAAUAAUGUAGAUACAUGACGGUACCCAAGGAGGAAGCCCCGGCUAACUACGUGCCAGCAGCCGCGGUAAUACGUAGGGGGCGAGCGUUGUCCGGAAUCAUUGGGCGUAAAGGGCGCGUAGGCGGGUCAUUAAGUCUGGUGUGAAAGGCAGGGGCUCAACCCCUGGAAGGCACCGGAAACUGGUUAUCUUGAGGACAGGAGAGGAAAGCGGAAUCCCACGUGUAGCGGUGAAAUGCGUAGAUAUGUGGAGGAACACCAGUGGCGAAGGCGGCUUUCUGGACUGUAACUGACGCUGAGGCGCGAAAGCGUGGGGAGCAAAACAGGAUUAGAUACCCUGGUAGUCCACGCCGUAAACGAUGAGUGCUAGGUGUAGAGGGUAUCGACCCCUUCUGUGCCGCAGUUAACACAAUAAGCACUCCGCCUGGGGAGUACGGCCGCAAGGUUGAAACUCAAAUGAAUUGACGGGGUCA
rnacentral:rRNA from 1 species